CUCUCUCUCUCUCUCUCUCUCUCUCUCUCUCUCUGGCCUGUUUCUUGAUCUUCCACUUUGUUGUUUUUAGGCUCCUUUCAAUCUUUUCCACUGUGCAAUUUUCCACUUGUGUGUUCCUGAUCUCUCCCUUUUCCUUAGUGGUUGACAUGGGAUUUCAACACAGAAAACACACAGUAGCUCUCUCUCUCUCUCAAGACAAGGGUUUCGAACCUUUUUGCCAAUGCCCAUUGAUUUGCUUUUGUUUCUUCGCUUUACCUUUUCCUUUACCUCCAUGGGAUGCUAAAAGUUGGGUGACUAUAGAUGCUAGGGUUAGGGUUUUUCAUCUCAUCUGCAUGUGGAUUGGCCCCUAUACGGAGAAGCCCCGAGUCGUUGUUUGCCAUUGCAGCAUCAUGAAGAUUCACACAGAAAACUUUCUUUUUGAAGAGAGCGUCUUUUUUAAAUAAUCAAAUGGUGGGUUUUAGUUUAUGUGGUCCCUAAUUCCACCCAAAAAGCGUCUCUCUUCAAUAUGAUUUUUUUUAUGGGAAUCUUGAUGAUGCUGCAGUGGCAAUGAACGGCUAUUCACUCUCAAAAGCCAGAAGUCCCGAGAUCAAACUUAUGAGGACGAAGAACUCUCCAAAGAAACUAGGUAUUCAAAAGAUUGAUGCUUGCUGUCUUUGUUGGUGGGUUUUGAGGUUCUUGGUUUCUGCGAACCCAACGUGGAACAGAGUUUAAGUUCGAGAAAAGAAGACGACUUUACCUUGGUGUAUACUGGGUUGCUGAUCAUCAUAUGUUUCUGCUUUUUCGGUGAUGUUAAUAUUUGUAAGGAUGGGACCGAGUGAUGCAUCUGAAUUUUUCUUUUUCCGUACAGCAACGCGCCUCCUGAUCUUUCGCUAGCUGUGUCUGUACUUGUGUCCAAGUGUAGAACUUGGAUAACUCGAGAGCAUGAUGUGAUUGAAAGCUGUUUCUGCUUCAUGUGUCUUGUUAUUAUGUCGUCACUGCAGGUAUGUGUUCUUUUGAAGGAGUUCUUUUCUGAGUCUCAUUUGGCCAUUUACUGUCUUUGCUUGGUUCCCAUAAGAUUAGCAAGUUUGCUUGACUGACUCGCUUCUUUGAGACAUAUUUGUCAUUUGGUUCUUAUUAAGGCAUUCUCUGGUUUAAUCUAUGGUUUCUAUGCGGGUUUCCCUAGGCAUGUCUUUUUUUCUCUGGUUCCCCUCAUAUCAGCUUUAUUCAGGUAUUAGCAUCACUAAAUGUCAUCUUUCUGAAGAGUGGAGCCCGAUCCGUCGAGUUAUUUUCCUUGUGUCACCUGACUAGCCUCCCUGCUCGUACUCAUUGAUCACACCUUAACACAGAAGGACAACAUUUGGCCAAGAAGAGGUACAGCAACAGAUUUCGGGGAAGUUUUUUUAUUCUAAACACCUGGAAAAAUGCCCAUCUUCCUUUCCGUACUUGUAUAGGGGAAAGAUGAUUCCUCUAAAUUUAUUGAGAUGAUCAUUAUCCUAAGUAAGGAAUUCAUCUGCUGCUCUGUCUUCCUCGGUAACGUAGGAUUUGCAAGAUGCGCGAGUCAAAUACAAGGAAGGACCGCGUGUUCCCAUCACAGCUAUUCUUCCUUCCCAAGUUUCCUCUUAUUUUUGGAGACCUAAGUAUCUGGGUUUGUAGAGAUAACAUGGAGGAUCGUAUAGCUAGCCUUUGUUUGUGUAAAGUGGAUCUUCUUCAUUCGCAUCUCCUUAAUCAACCCUUGAAGACCCUUUUCGUGACUUUUGUUUUGUGAUUUUCUUUUGAUCUGGCCCCUUAUAUCCAGUGAGGCUAGGCUUGUGAAUGCUGACUAAUCUGUGACUAUGAGCGGGAGCAAAACGAGUAAUCUGUCUUGUCUAAAGAGAACUUGCAUUGUAAUCUAUCAAGAAAGACUUUUGUAGCAA